GACGAACGCUGGCGGCGUGCUUAACACAUGCAAGUCGAACGGUAAGGCCCUUCGGGGUACACGAGUGGCGAACGGGUGAGUAACACGUGAGUAAUGUGCCCUUGACUCUGGGAUAACAGCCGGAAACGGUUGCUAAUACCGGAUAUCCACAUGUGCCUGCAUGGGUGUGUGUGGAAAGCUUUUGCGGUCUUGGAUCAACUCGCGGCCUAUCAGCUUGUUGGUGGGGUAAUGGCCUACCAAGGCUUCGACGGGUAGCCGGCCUGAGAGGGCGACCGGCCACACUGGGACUGAGAUACGGCCCAGACUCCUACGGGAGGCAGCAGUGGGGAAUAUUGCACAAUGGGCGGAAGCCUGAUGCAGCAACGCCGCGUGCGGGAUGACGGCCUUCGGGUUGUAAACCGCUUUCAGUAGGGACGAAGCGCAAGUGACGGUACCUACAGAAGAAGCACCGGCCAACUACGUG
rnacentral:rRNA from 1 species